CACUAUUUUCCUGUUCCUGAGGUGGAAGGAAGGGGGGCUGACUUGGGGGGUUGCUGAGAACCCCCCCUUCCCCCCCGAAAGGGCCGCCUACCGCCAAAACAAGAGGAGGCAGGAUGCGAUCCAUUGCAUUUCUCACACGAGUGAGCGAAUCUGCACGCUGGACGCUGGCAGGAGCCCUUAUUGAAAUCCCAGCAUAACAGACGUCGGCCCGGCCUAAAAGGAGAAAUCCUCGACUUCUGCUGCUCCGGCGCCUUUUUAUCAAUGAGUGGGGCUACAUAGGUGGUCCACACAUCGAGAUCCUUGCGAUCCCAGCGGGCCGAAGGGAUCCUGGCAGCGCGGCGCCUGAAAUUCUCAUCAUAUUUGAUCGCAGCUUUUUCACCAGCUUUGGUGAAUGCAGAGCGAACAAUAGAUAGAUAAACUAUCAAAUGAAGAGAUCUCCGAGGGUAAGCUGCCGUCACAACGCCAGCGAAGACCUGGAAACAAUCGAGCCAAUGUUCGAAUGUCCUGUCCGCGGCAGAGGCCCCAGAGCGUUUCUUAGCAGAAGAACUCCCCUUCUCCUGUUCCUCCGAAGGUGGGAGCAAUUUGAACAUGUCUAUGUAGCGGCCAUUCAAAAUCCUGGACCGCAACUUUGCCGACAAAUGUGAGCCUGGUAUGAUGUCCCUGGCAGAAUUGGUUGAGACUUUAACAUCGGGAACCAACACACCAUCCCUAUACUCCAGGGUUGCCCCAUAUUUUGCCCGAUGUGUGUUGGCCCUUCGUUCCCACGCCCACCGUGGAAGCCCCGAAACCGACUCGCCGAAACCCCAGUAAAGUUCCAUGGAGUUACCCUCAUCAUCGGAACUAGAAGAUGAUGUACCUGAAUAAGAGGAAGAAGUGUCGUCCUUCCUCCGUUUGGCACGCUUCCGGGACGCUCUCCUGUGGCGACGCUUCCCUCCUGAGGACUUCCUGGCCGGGACAGGAAGACUGUCUUCAAUAGACGACUCGGAAUCAGGAUUCAGCAGGGAUGGAGCUGACACAGACUGCGGAGAGACAACAAGUGAGAGGCCAGAACCAGAUGCCACCUCGGCGGGAGGCUGAGCAGACGUACGCCGACGAGCAGGAGCUACGGAGGGGCCCUUUUUUCCUGAGGCCCUUCUGGCGGGACCGCCAGACCCGCGUGACCGGCCCCGGACAGCAGGUAAGACAGGGGACUGGGCUAACUGGGGGUCCACAAUCAAACCGCCUGACGAUGACCCUUCUCUCCCAUCUUCACUAGAUGACGGUGAAACCGGAGACGACGCCGUUGCUGAGGGAGUCGGCCUCCCAGAUACAGACGACUGGGUGGAGCAAUGUUGAAGGAAGCCGUCCAUUUCGGCCGCAAAACGAGAUAAGGCUGCUGGGUCACCGGCCAUACUUGCUACCAAGGAUUGCACCCGCCCUGCAGGUUGACCCACAGGGGGUGAGCGGAACGCCUGGGAUGGACCCUUAAUAGGCCGUUUUGAAGCGGCGGCCGGACCCGAGCGAGCGGCAGCUUUCUUUGGAGCCAUACCUGCUAGGCGGAAAUAAGAUUAUUAUCAAUAAACUCGACAAGCAACACGACCAAUAAUCUAACAAGCUUCAAAAUGAGUGAACCACUGCUGGCCCAUACACCAACAACGCCGAAGUACCACUGCUACCUGUCAGCCUUUUAAAUCAAAACAUUAG
rnacentral:lncRNA from 1 species